AGCGGGGUGGGGUAGCCAGGAAAUCCCGCCGGGCUCAUAAGACCCGGAGAUCGGUGGUUCAAAUCCACCCCCCGCUA
rnacentral:tRNA from 1 species